rnacentral:rRNA from 1 species
AUUGAACGCUGGCGGCAUGCCUUACACAUGCAAGUCGAACGGCAGCACGGGAGCUUGCUCCUGGUGGCGAGUGGCGAACGGGUGAGUAAUACAUCGGAACGUACCCAGUAGUGGGGGAUAACGCACCGAAAGGUGCGCUAAUACCGCAUACGACCUACGGGUGAAAGCGGGGGACCGUAAGGCCUGGCGCUCUUGGAGCGGCCGAUGUCUGAUUAGCUAGUUGGCGGGGUAAUAGCCCACCAAGGCGACGAUCAGUAGCUGGUCUGAGAGGACGAUCAGCCACACUGGGACUGAGACACGGCCCAGACUCCUACGGGAGGCAGCAGUGGGGAAUUUUGGACAAUGGGGGCAACCCUGAUCCAGCAAUGCCGCGUGUGCGAAGAAGGCCUUCGGGUUGUAAAGCACUUUUGUCAGGGAAGAAAUCUUUCAGGCUAAUACCCUUGGAAGGAUGACGGUACCUGCAGAAAAAGCACCGGCUAACUACGUGCCAGCCGCCGCAGUAA